AGACCCGAAACCCGGUGAUCUAGCCAUGGGCAGGUUGAAGGUUGGGUAACACUAACUGGAGGACCGAACCGACUAAUGUUGAAAAAUUAGCGGAUGACCUGUGGCUGGGGGUGAAAGGCCAAUCAAACCGGGAGAUAGCUGGUUCUCCCCGAAAGCUAUUUAGGUAGCGCCUCGUGAACUCAUCUCCGGGGGUAGAGCACUGUUUCGGCUAGGGGGCCAUCCCGGCUUACCAACCCGAUGCAAACUGCGAAUACCGGAGAAUGUUAUCACGGGAGACACACGGCGGGUGCUAACGUCCGUCGUGAAGAGGGAAACAACCCAGACCGCCAGCUAAGGUCCCAAAGUCAUGGUUAAGUGGGAAACGAUGUGGGAAGGCCCAGACAGCCAGGAUGUUGGCUUAGAAGCAGCCAUCAUUUAAAGAAAGCGUAAUAGCUCACUGGUCGAGUCGGCCUGCGCGGAAGAUGUAACGGGGCUAAACCAUGCACCGAAGCUGCGGCAGCGACACUUUAGUGUUGUUGGGUAGGGGAGCGUUCUGUAAGCCGUUGAAGGUGUCCUGUGAGGGGUGCUGGAGGUAUCAGAAGUGCGAAUGCUGACAUAAGUAACGAUAAAGCGGGUGAAAAGCCCGCUCGCCGGAAGACCAAGGGUUCCUGUCCAACGUUAAUCGGGGCAGGGUGAGUCGACCCCUAAGGCGAGGCCGAAAGGCGUAGUCGAUGGGAAACGGGUUAAUAUUCCCGUACUUGGUGUUACUGCGAAGGGGGGACGGAGAAGGCUAUGUUGGCCGGGCGACGGUUGUCCCGGUUUAAGCGUGUAGGUGUGUGUUCCAGGUAAAUCCGGUUCACUUUAACACUGAGGCGUGAUGACGAGGCACCACGGUGCUGAAGCAACAAAUGCCCUGCUUCCAGGAAAAGCCUCUAAGCAUCAGGUAACAUCAAAUCGUACCCCAAACCGACACAGGUGGUCAGGUAGAGAAUACCAAGGCGCUUGAGAGAACUCGGGUGAAGGAACUAGGCAAAAUGGUGCCGUAACUUCGGGAGAAGGCACGCUGACACGUAGGUGAAGUGAUUUACUCACGGAGCUGAAGUCAGUCGAAGAUACCAGCUGGCUGCAACUGUUUAUUAAAAACACAGCACUGUGCAAACACGAAAGUGGACGUAUACGGUGUGACGCCUGCCCGGUGCCGGAAGGUUAAUUGAUGGGGUCAGCGCAAGCGAAGCUCCUGAUCGAAGCCCCGGUAAACGGCGGCCGUAACUAUAACGGUCCUAAGGUAGCGAAAUUCCUUGUCGGGUAAGUUCCGACCUGCACGAAUGGCGUAAUGAUGGCCAGGCUGUCUCCACCCGAGACUCAGUGAAAUUGAACUCGCUGUGAAGAUGCAGUGUACCCGCGGCAAGACGGAAAGACCCCGUGAACCUUUACUAUAGCUUGACACUGAACAUUGAGCCUUGAUGUGUAGGAUAGGUGGGAGGCUUUGAAGCGUGGACGCCAGUCUGCGUGGAGCCGACCUUGAAAUACCACCCUUUAAUGUUUGAUGUUCUAACGUGGACCCGUAAUCCGGGUUGCGGACAGUGUCUGGUGGGUAGUUUGACUGGGGCGGUCUCCUCCUAAAGAGUAACGGAGGAGCACGAAGGUUGGCUAAUCCUGGUCGGACAUCAGGAGGUUAGUGCAAUGGCAUAAGCCAGCUUGACUGCGAGCGUGACGGCGCGAGCAGGUGCGAAAGCAGGUCAUAGUGAUCCGGUGGUUCUGAAUGGAAGGGCCAUCGCUCAACGGAUAAAAGGUACUCCGGGGAUAACAGGCUGAUACCGCCCAAGAGUUCAUAUCGACGGCGGUGUUUGGCACCUCGAUGUCGGCUCAUCACAUCCUGGGGCUGAAGUAGGUCCCAAGGGUAUGGCUGUUCGCCAUUUAAAGUGGUACGCGAGCUGGGUUUAGAACGUCGUGAGACAGUUCGGUCCCUAUCUGCCGUGGGCGCUGGAAGAUUGAGGGGGGCUGCUCCUAGUACGAGAGGACCGGAGUGGACGCAUCACUGGUGUUCGGGUU
rnacentral:rRNA from 1 species